rnacentral:rRNA from 1 species
UACGUAGGGUGCGAGCGUUAAUCGGAAUUACUGGGCGUAAAGUGUGCGCAGGCGGCUUUGCAAGACAGAUGUGAAAUCCCCGGGCUCAACCUGGGAACUGCAUUUGUGACUGCAAGGCUAGAGUACGGCAGAGGGGGAUGGACUUCCGCGUGUAGCAGUGAAAUGCGUAGAUAUGCGGAGGAACACCAAUGGCGAAGGCAAUCCCCUGGGCCUGUACUGACGCUCAUGCACGAAAGCGUGGGGAGCAAACAGG